rnacentral:rRNA from 1 species
CCUACGGGAGGCAGCAGUGAGGAAUAUUGGUCAAUGGACGAGAGUCUGAACCAGCCAAGUAGCGUGAAGGAUGACUGCCCUCUGGGUUGUAAACUUCUUUUAUAUGGGAAUAAAAUGUUCUACGUGUGUGAUUUUGUAUGUAUCAUAUGAAUACGGAUCGGCUAAAUCCGUGCCAGCAGCCGCGGUAAUCCGGAGGAUCCGAGCGUUAUCCGGAUUUAUUGGGUUUAAAGGGAGCGUAGAUGGAUUGGUAAGUCAGUUGUGAAAGUUUGGGGCUCAACCGUAGAAUUGCAGUUGAAACUGGAAGGCUGGAGUACAGGAGAGGUAAGCGGAAUUCGUGGUGUAGCGGUGAAAUGCUUAGAUAUCACGAAGAACUCCAGUUGCGAAGGCAGCUCACUGGACUGCAACUGACGCUGAGGCUCGAAAGUGUGGGGAUCAAACAGGAUUAGAUACCCUUGUAGUC